CAGCAGCCGCGGUAAUACGAAGGGGGCUAGCGUUGUUCGGAUUUACUGGGCGUAAAGGGCGCGUAGGCGGACUGAUAAGUCAGGGGUGAAAUCCCAAGGCUCAACCUUGGAACUGCCUUUGAUACUGUUUGUCUUGAGUUCGAGAGAGGUAAGUGGAACUGCGAGUGUAGAGGUGAAAUUCGUAGAUAUUCGCAAGAACACCAGUGGCGAAGGCGGCUUACUGGCUCGAUACUGGCGCUGAGGCGCGAAAGCGUGGGGAGCAAACAGGAUUAGAUACCCCCGUAGUCCCUGUCUCUUAUAA
rnacentral:rRNA from 1 species